UUAGGAUUUGAUUAGGGUUUGAAAAGGAUUUAGGAUUUGAUUUAAGGUUUGGUUGGAGUUUGGUUUAGGAUUUAUUUAGGAUUUAGGGUUUGGUUAAGAUUUGAUUUCGGAUUUAGAGUUUGGUUAGGAUUUUAUUCAAGAUUUAGGAUUUGGUUUAAGAUUUGGUUAGGAUUUGAUUUAGGAUUAGUGUGAUUGUCAUUUUACUUAUUCUAUAAUUUCUUUGAGAAUAAACAUCUAUAGGAGAAUUGGAACACAAGAAAAGACUAAGUGCAUGAGUUUUACUUAUUAGGGUCACACAAUUAACCAUAUUCCAAACCAUUGAAAUACUAAGAAAUACUACAACGCUUUCUACUAGUAACAAUACUCCUUCAUUAACUGAUAACAAGAGUGCAACCCUGUACUCUCAAAAGUCCGCUCAAAACACAAUAAUUUCCAUCCAACACUAGAAUUAACAGAUUUCAUUCCAACAAUUUGAAUUCACAUAAUUUUUGUAAUCACAGACUUCUUUUGUCAAAGCAUACAUAGCUCUCAAUAAACAACAAUCAUAAUCUUUCAAUAACUUCUCAUAUAAUUCAAUCACUCAAUGCUCCAAUUACAUAAUCAAUAACUCAUAAAUCAAUCUCUGAUUUAUUCUACAGACUCACUUCUCAGUAUUCAAAAACUAUCCAUUACUCUUCAACAACAAAGAAAACAAACAAAUAAAGAGGUAGCAUGAAGCUUACCUUGGCUCAUGACUAUCACAGUCUAGCUCUCCAACAAACUUCUACAACUACUACAUAAUUGCUCUUGAUUUCCAGAUUCUAACCAUAAACCUAUAACUAACCGCUUUUAAUAACUAAAUCAAUCAUCCGUCUUCAUGAACUCACUAUUCUAUAGACUAUUAAUGUAUUUUAGCAAUAUCUUAUAGAAACAACUAAUAUCUAUUCUACAUAGCCUCACUAUCUGUGCAACAUCCUCGUAAACACACAAUUGAUUCCUAUCUAAAAACUACUUAAUAAAACUCUAUAUAGUUACGAUUUCCUCUGGCCCACCCAAUUGAUCAUUUGUUGCAUUAUCGAAUGUGGAUUCCAUCGAAUCUGAUUCUAGAUGUAAGUCUUCCUCCUCAUCCAAUCCGUCCAUUGACUCCUUCCUAAACUGGUUUGAGAGAUCUUCAUUACACUGUCCCAAUUCAUGGACUGGAGCCUCCAAUUUCAAGAUCUGGACAUCACUGAGUUCCAAUUGAUGCUGCUAUUGACUCAUCCAUAUUGAAACAACUUCAAUCGGCACUUGUGACCAACUUCUCACUGUUAAUUCUUAACUAGAACUACUACUCUCAAAUAUACAAGAAACACAAGAAAUGGCAGUCUCAAAAAAAAAAAAAAAAAAAAAAAAACUAUAAUAACACCACAGAAUGACCUCUAACUAGUGCCCCACUCCUAUUCUUUUACUACCUGGUG
rnacentral:lncRNA from 1 species